rnacentral:rRNA from 1 species
UACAUGGGGUGCAAACGUUGCUCGGAAUCAUUGGGCGUAAAGCGCGCGUAGGCGGUUACUUAUGUCGGAUGUGAAAUCCCUCAGCUUAACUGGGGAACUGCGUCUGAUACUGGAUGGCUUGAGUGUGGGAGAGGAAUGCGGAAUUCCAGGUGUAGCGGUGAAAUGCGUAGAUAUCUGGAGGAACACCGGUGGCGAAGGCGGCAUUCUGGACCAUAACUGACACUGAGAGACGAAAGCCAGGGGAGCAAACGGG